UGAGAUUCCGGGCAAAAACGAACAGAUCGUACCCUACGAGGGCCGCCCGAGAUACCGCGUUGUCAGUGCAACACUUCGCCUCCAGACCCAUCUUGCGGAGAACGAAGGCUUCGGCGUACUUCAGUAUCCUGGAUUGUACAUUGUACAAUUUGACAACACCCACAGUUGGUUUAUGUCUAGAAAAUUCAUCUAUCGUGUACUAGUGGUGCCUGAAGAAUCCUGAUUCAAUACGUGAGCCCACAUUCAGAGUCUAGAUUCUCGGAGUCAAAGCUGGACUCCUCUAUUUGGUAUACUUCCUUGCUUCGGACAACCACUGCAAUGAUUUUACAGGACAAAUUAUCUAAAAUGUCGUCCAUACUUGUGUUCAUAAUGUACUGGGGGCCUCUUGAAUCCUUUAAUAUUUUUUAAAAAAGCAUGAAAGUGAAAAAUACUGACACUUAUUUUAUUAGAUUUGUAACCAAGGUAUUCUUAUAAAUAGAGUGCAAGCGAAGAAAUAGCUGAAAAAGUUUCUGAUACAGAGCACUGCAAGUAAUGAAACGCUAGCUAUUUCUGUUAAAGCUUUUUCUCAGAAAUAAUGGUAAUAUGCUGAUCAAAAUACUAAUUUAGGACACGUUGUUACAUCUCAUCAAAGACAGCAAUCAUGAAAAAGUGAUUAAGCCUGACUCUCUUUCUCAAUCUUCUCUGAGUUCAAAAUCUUUGCAGAGCUUUAGCUGGAAAUUCGUGACUGAGAUAAAACAUCUUAAUCAGCAAUGUCAAUCGCCAAGAACAAUAUCAUGGUGAACAUCUAUGUUGUCUUUGAUUCGUUGUAACGUAACAAAGGCUACAAUCUUGAAAGUGAUCCGACCUGACUGUCUUUCUCAAUUUUCUCCAAGUUCCAAACCUUUACAGAGCUUUAGCUGGAAAUUCGUGACUAAAGUGGCUGAGGAAACAUCUAUUUUGUCUUUGAUACGCUGUAAAAAGACAACAAACUUGAAAGUGAUCCGACCUGAUUCUUUUCUCACUCUUCUCUAAGUUUGAAACCUUUGCAAAAAUUUUAGAUGGAUAUUUGUGUCUGAGGUAAAACAACUUAACGAGCAAUGUCAAAUGCCAAGAGCAAUACCAUGGUGAAAAUCAAGUGUGAAAGUAUUGAACAUUAUCAUUGAGAAAUGAGGUGUGAAUAAAACUUCCUUCAACUUUAUGUGCCUCCUAUCCACAAAUUACUAAAGUUUUCUUGUCUGUGGCAUCUUCAAACACCCAAAGUGUUAUCAUUUUAUUUAUUGGAAAAAAAUCGUUAAAGAAAUAAUUUUAUCGGAACCGCAUUCCAGUGUAUCAAUUUUAUGAUUACUUAAAAACCAUUAAAGGAUUUAUUGGACA